rnacentral:lncRNA from 1 species
CAACAAUAUCAAAUUGCUCCCUUCUCUUCCUCUUCCUCUUCCUCUCCACCCUCCACAUAGCUUCCACCCUCUCAACCCCCACCAACUUCAUCAAGUCCUCCUGCAGCACCACCCAGUACCCAGCCCUCUGCAUCCAGUCCCUCUCCGUCUACGCCUCCACCAUCCAGCAAGACCCCCACGAGCUCGUCCAGACAGCCCUCUCCCUCUCCCUCAACCACACCGAGGCCACCAAAACCUUCGUCGCAAAAUGCAACAAAUUCAGAGGCCUCAAACCGAGAGAAUACGCUGCCUUGAAGGACUGCGCUGAAGAAAUCAGUGACAGCGUCGACCGGCUCAGCCGG